rnacentral:rRNA from 1 species
UACGAAGGGGGCUAGCGUUGUUCGGAAUUACUGGGCGUAAAGCGCGUGUAGGCGGGUUUUUAAGUCAGGGGUGAAAUGCCAAGGCUCAACCUUGGAACUGCCUUUGAUACUGGAGAUCUUGAGUCCGGGAGAGGUGAGUGGAACUGCGAGUGUAGAGGUGAAAUUCGUAGAUAUUCGCAAGAACACCAGUGGCGAAGGCGGCUCACUGGCCCGGUACUGACGCUGAGGUGCGAAAGCGUGGGGAGCAAACAGG